rnacentral:rRNA from 1 species
GGGACACGUGAAACCCUGUGGGAAGCAGGAGGGACCACCCUCCAAGGCUAAAUACUACCUAGUGACCGAUAGCGUAUAGUACCGUGAGGGAAAGGUGAAAAGAACCCCGGGAGGGGAGUGAAAUAGAACCUGAAACCCUGCACUUACAAGCUGUGGAAGCACAUUUCUUGUGUGACCGCGUACUUUUUGUAGAACGGGCCAACGAGUUACGUUAAGUAGCAAGGUUAAGCACUUAAGGUGCGGAGCCGUAGCGAAAGCGAGUUUUAACUGAGCGUUCAGUUACUUGACGUAGACCCGAAACCGGGCGACCUACCCAUGAGCAGGAUGAAGCGAAAGUAAAAUUUCGUGGAGGUCCGAACCCACGAGCGUUGAAAAGCUCGGGGAUGACUUGUGGGUAGCGGUGAAAUUCCAAUCGAGCCCGGAGAUAGCUGGUUCUCCCCGAAAUAGCUUUAGGGCUAGCCUCAAGGUGAGAGAUACGGAGGUAGAGCACUGAAUGUCCUAGGGGGUAUUGCACCUACCGAAGACUAUCAAACUCCGAAUGCCGUCAUCUUAUACUUGGGAGUCAGACUGUGGGUGAUAAGAUUCAUAGUCGAAAGGGCAACAGCCCAGAUCGUCAGCUAAGGUCCCUAAAUGUAAGUUAAGUGGUAAAGGAUGUGGGAUUGCACAGACAACCAGGAUGUUGGCUUAGAAGCAGCCACUCAUUCAAAGAGUGCGUAAUAGCUCACUGGUCGAGUGAUCCUGCGCCGAAGAUUUCCGGGGCUAAAACUUACUACCGAAGCUACGGCAUCAGUAAUGAUGGGUAGGGGAGCUUCCCAUACGGGUUGAAGCAUGACCGUAAGGACAUGUGGACAGUAUGGGAGUGAGAAUGUUGGCAUGAGUAGCGAGAUGUGGGUGAGAAUCCCACAGGCCGUAAACCCAAGGUUUCCAGGGGAAGGUUCGUCCGCCCUGGGUUAGUCGGGACCUAAGCUGAGGCCGAAAGGCGUAGGUGAUGGACAACAGGUUGAUAUUCCUGUACUACCGAUAACCGUUUGAGAGAAGGGAUGACACAGUAGGAUAAGCUAAGCACACUGUUGGUUAUGUGUGCCCAAGCAUUGAGGCAGUCAAAGCAGGCAAAUCCGCUUUGAUAAUGCUGGGAUGUGAUGGGGAGCGAAAUUUAGUAGCGAAGUAGCUGAUUUCACACUGUCAAGAAAAGUCUC